UACAGAGGUCUCAAGCGUUGUUCGGAUUCAUUGGGCGUAAAGGGCGUGUAGGUGGUUUCGUAAGUCUGGCGUGAAAUUUUUCGGCUUAACCGGGAAAGGUCGUCGGAUACUGCGGAGCUAGAGGACGGUAGAGGCGUGUGGAAUUCCGGGUGUAGUGGUGAAAUGCGUAGAGAUCCGGAGGAACACCAGUGGCGAAGGCGACACGCUGGGCCGUACCUGACACUGAUGCGCGACAGCAUGGGGAGCAAACAGG
rnacentral:rRNA from 1 species